CUACGGGUGGCUGCAGUGGGGAAUAUUGCACAAUGGGCGCAAGCCUGAUGCAGCCAUGCCGCGUGUGUGAAGAAGGCCUUCGGGUUGUAAAGCACUUUCAGCGGGGAGGAAGGCGGUGAGGUUAAUAACCUCAUCGAUUGACGUUACCCGCAGAAGAAGCACCGGCUAACUCCGUGCCAGCAGCCGCGGUAAUACGGAGGGUGCAAGCGUUAAUCGGAAUUACUGGGCGUAAAGCGCACGCAGGCGGUCUGUCAAGUCGGAUGUGAAAUCCCCGGGCUCAACCUGGGAACUGCAUUCGAAACUGGCAGGCUAGAGUCUUGUAGAGGGGGGUAGAAUUCCAGGUGUAGCGGUGAAAUGCGUAGAGAUCUGGAGGAAUACCGGUGGCGAAGGCGGCCCCCUGGACAAAGACUGACGCUCAGGUUCGAAAGCGUGGGGAGCAAACAGGAUUAGAUACCCUUGUAGUC
rnacentral:rRNA from 1 species